UUGUACGAUAAAUUUAAAUGACAUACUUUAAAAAGAACAGGCGGGCCAUAUUCAAUCACUUGGCGGGCCGGAUGUGGCCCCCGGGCCAUAGUUUGCCCACCCCUGCACUAGACUGUCAUUCAUUCAUAUGACAACAGCCUGAGUGUACUUUAAUUUAUGAGGUCAUUUCUGAAGUUUUUGGUCUCAUCGUUAUUGAGGUGACAAUGAUUUACUGGUACCUGCAGAUUAUUAUAUCAACAAAAAAAAAUGUUUGGAGAAAAAAAAGUGACCUUCAGUGUGAUACAAGGACGCAAUACCACUCCUGCGAUAACAGCGACACCUGUUGGCCUUUGUGUGUAAUUCCCUACAAGUCAAAAAAAAUUACAGCAAUUGCAGUAUUUCAAAAGUUUAUUUCUUGUCACAAUAAUGUGAUAAUAAAAAAAUUCUGUACAAUUACAUAUUACAUUCAAAUAAUUUCAUACAUAUUUAUCAACUUGAUUCAUAGGACUGGGCAGAUUUAAAUAGAAGCAUGCUUAAAGAUUUCUUUUACAUGUCUGCUUAAUUAUGGCUUUUAUAAAAAUAUAAAAUCUCUUUAUGUACAAAACUUGCAUAUAAUACAUGUCCAACAAAGAAGAAAAGUGAUUGAAUUGCUUAUACGUUAAAAACAAAGAUGCACAAACACGAAGGUAUAUGCACACAAAUAUUUUUACACCACUCUCAUUGUCAGUGGAUUAUAAAUUAAAUAUGUUGGAAUAUAAUAUAAUUUGCGUGUAAUUUUCAGUUGUCAUCGUUGCAGUGCGUCGGAGUGGGUGUGUACACCGGGAUGGUGACAUCACUGCACACUUCCUGGACCCUCAUGGGCCUAGUAGGGGUGACCAUGACAUAGUCGUACUCCCUGUGUAGUACUUUUUCAUACACGCUCUGCAGCCCCACUGUUUUGGGUAUGUGUGCUUGGUAGUAGUUGUCCCUGCGGUGUGGGUCCCUGGGCAGGGAGGCCGUCUUGGAUUGGCUGCUGAAGGAGGAGACGGUUGGAGCUGGUGACGGCGCCGCGUUGGCUCUCACCGCCGACGGGCUCCAACAGCGAUCCGAGUGGCCCAGGACUUUACACUCGCUGGUGCAGGCCCACAAAGCUGGAAAAGAUAAGUAUUGGACUCUGAUGAAAUAUUUCAGUAUUGAACAAAGUAAAACUAUGGUACUCUUAUGUCAUUGUAUGGUCAAAAAAAACUUAAACUGCAUUAUGGAAAGCAGGAAGUGAACAAAUCGGUACGUGAUAAAAAUAAAAAAUAAAAAAUAAAAAAUAAAAAAUAAAAAAUAAAAAAUAAAAAAUAAAAAAUAAAAAAUAAAAAAUAAAAAAUAAGGGGUAGGAUUUAAUAAGCUUUGCUUCUUCCUACUCCUUUUGGACAUGUGGAACUGUGAACUAAUUAUGUGAUGCAUUCAAUUGUAAUCAGAUGCGUGUUCAAAUGAAAUAAAACCAUUACCAUAAUUAUAAUAUUUUCAUACAGCAUAGAAAGCCUGCUUACGACCUAAAUACGGUUGUUAACAUAUUAGAGCUCUUUAGACAAAAUAAAAUAAAAUAAAAUAAAAUAAAUUAGGAAAGCAGGAAGUGAACAAAUGUAACAGUUACUGAUUGUAAAAGUACCAGAUGGAGGGGUAGGAUUUAAUAAGCUUUGCUUCUUCCUACUCCUUUUUGGACAUGUGGAACUGUGAACUGAUUAUAUGAUGCAUUCAAUUGUAAUCUGAUGCAUGUUCAAAUGAAAUUAAACCAUUAACAAAUGUGUGUUUUUUUUUACCAUUUUGGGCCCCGAUUGGAGCAACAGCGCCAUCUUUCUUCAAGCCUGCAGUGUCUCCGCUCACAUCGCUGUCGCUGUCGUUGAAGUCACUGUCCCCCUUGCCGCUGUCCUUCCCACUGAAGGCGGGGUCCCUGGCGGAAAUGGUGGUGUACGAGUUCCCCUUCCAGAUGGUGAUUGGCCUCACAGCCUCUUUCCCGUUCCCGUAACCGGGAAGAGUUGAGUAUCCCUGCGAAGAAGAGAAUAAAAAGUUUGCUGUUUGUGUCCGAGUCAUAAACACAUGGCACCUCACUGCCGUCCUCCGAAGCCGAGCACAUGUCGCUACCCCCGACGUGGGUGGCGUUGAACCCCCCGGCCUGGCUGCUGUAAGAGUGCCCCUCAAAGCCCGCCUCUCCUGUAGCCGCGUGCAAAGGUGGUGGCGAUGAGGAUGAUGGCGAGCAGCAGGAGGGUGCAGCUCCCCGCCAGGACGACGAUAAUCACCACCGACAGGUCCCACUGCGAGGUCACCUCACCACCGCCGUUGCCGGGUUGGUACACAUUGCGGUCGUUCGGCGGGGAGCCGGCGAUGAUGAGAAAGUGCAAAGUCGCCGUUGAGAGAACACGGAAGUUUCGCCGGUGGUCAACGCGAAGGAAAGUUCCGAGUUGAUGCCCUCGUCUGCGUCUCUGGCUUGCACCCGCGUUAUGAUGUAACCGCUCGGAGCAUCCCGAGGUAGCAGCACCUCGGCGGAGCCGUUGUUAAGCGCCGGAUGAGCUCACGAGAUGUUUUUACGCGCCAGUGAGGGGAUUUCUUUUUAAUUAAAGCCGCCGUAAAAAAUGCAGGAAGAGGGCGAUACUGCAUGUCGAUAUGAUACCAGCACAAUGGGCUGCACGGCGGACGAGUGGUUAGUGCGCAGACCUCACAGCUAGGAGACCAAGGGUUCAAUUCCAUCCUCGGCCAUCUCUGUUUGGAGUUUGCAUGUUCUCCCCGUGCAUGUGAAGUUGACUCCAAGAACGCAGCAACGACUCGUCCAAGAGGUCACAAAAGACCCCACAACAACAUCCAAAGAACUGCAGGCCUCACUUACCUCAGUUAAGCCUCCUUUUUAUGGAAGCGGUAUCAGACUAAGAGUGAGAGCGUGCCCCCACCCCCGUCCCAGCAGGGCUCUGCAAAGGUCCUCGGCAUCAUCAUUAUCAUCAGCACCAGCGCCUUCUCAGAUGCACUAGCGCAUGA